AUCCAGACUCCUACGGGACGCAGCAGUGAGGAAUAUUGGUCAAUGGACGAGAGUCUGAACCAGCCAAUUAGCGUGAAGGAUGACUGCCCUAUGGGUUUUAAACUUCUUUUAUCUGGGAAUAAAAUGUUCCACGUGUUUUCUUUUGUAUGUACCAUAUGAAUAAUGAUCUUCUAACUCCUUGCCAGCAGCCGCUUUAAUACGGAGGAUCCUAUCGUUAUCCGGAUUUAUUGGGUUUAAAGGGAGCGUAGAUGGGUUGUUAAGUCAGUUGUGAAAGUUUGCGGAUCAACCGUAAAAUUGCAAUUGAUACUGGCAGCCUUGAGUACAGUUGAGGUAGGCGGAAUUCGUGGUGUAGCGGUGAAAUGCUUAGAUAUAAAGAAGAACUCCGAUUGCGAAGGCAGCCUACUAAACUGCCACUGACAUUGAUGCUCGAAAGUGUGGGUAUCAAACAGGAUUAGAUACCCCAGUA
rnacentral:rRNA from 1 species